CUGUCACCCAGAGCGGACCAGGGUCCCAGCCCGAGCCCCUGACGCCAGACCUGCUCCCCCACCCCCCGCCCCCACUGCCCCCCUUCACUGAACCGAGGCUGGCUACUAACUUACGCGUCUCUUCCUCCAGGGAGGCCUCCUUGACUCCCAGACCUCUGAUGUCCAGAUGUGGCCCAAAGACACAGCCUCAGUGCAGAAACAGGAGCAUCUUGUUCCAAGUAGGAUUGACCUCGGUGAGCUGGAUGGGGCAUCCAUUGUGUCCUCCGCCCCAGAGUGAGGGCUGCCCAGGUGACAGGUCUCGGAUCCCCGAAACGGAUUCCCAGAGAUGUGCUCGGGGAGAUACACAUCUCGAUCUGCAGUCUCAUUUGGAAUUACAGGUCCACACGGUCUCAGCGCCGAAGUCAGUCAGGACGGGUCUGCAAGGUCGCAGGGGCUUAAAACAACAAAGGGGUAGGUGUCGCUUACACACAGGGACCCCACGGGUCGGCCCACUCAUGGUGCAGGCCGCUGGGAAGCCCCGUGGGCAGUGCUGGUCCUGGAGGCGGAAGCCCCGCACCUGCCCCAGAGAUCGAACGUCACACCCCCUUCUGCUCAGAGCUCAUUGGUCGGAAGCGGUCACGUGGGGGGGGGGGACCCCGGAAGUGCCUUCCCGCCAGCCGCUGAGAGGUGGAGAGCCACAGCCACGUGGCGAACCACGCUCAUGACAUCAAGUCAGGUGGCGCCGGCGUUCAAGGCCCCCUCCAGCAACCAAGGUGUCCUCCCUAGCACACGCCCCGACACCACCUGUGCCCCCCUCCCAGGACUAAGCGCAGGGACUGACUGAGUGCUGGCCCAGUGCUCGGUGUUUGUUAAAUUAAUAAAUCAGGCCAUGCAGGGGCUCCUGGGGGGCUCAGUCGGUGAGGCGUCCAACUUCGGCUCAGGUCACGGUCUCGUGGUUUGUGGGUUCGAGCCCCUCGUCGGGCUCUGUGCUGACGGCUCGGAGCCUGGAGCCUGCUUCCCAUUCUGUGUCCCCCUCUCUCUCUGCCCCUCCCCCGCUCAUACUCUGUCUCUUUCUCUCAAAAAAUGAAUAAACAUUAAAAAAAACUUAAAAAUAAAUAAA